AUUGAACGCUGGCGGCAGGCCUAACACAUGCAAGUCGAACGGUAACAGGAAGAAGCUUGCUUCUUUGCUGACGAGUGGCGGACGGGUGAGUAAUGUCUGGGAAACUGCCUGAUGGAGGGGGUUAACUACUGGAAACGGUAGCUAAUACCGCAUAACGUCGCAAGCCCAAAGAGGGGGACCUUCGGGCCUCUUGCCAUUGGCUGUGCCCAGAUGGGAUUAGCUAGUAGGUGGGGUAACGGCUCACCUAGGCGACGAUCCCUAGCUGGUCUGAGAGGAUGACCAGCCACACUGGAACUGAGACACGGUCCAGGCUCCUACGGGAGGCAGCAGUGGGGAAUAUUGCACAAUGGGCGCAAGCCUGAUGCAGCCAUGCCGCGUGUAUGAAGAAGGCCUUCGGGUUGUAAAGUACUUUCAGCGGGGAGGAAGGGAGUAAAGUUAAUACCUUUACUCAUUGACGUUACCCGCAGAAGAAGCACCGGCUAACUCCGUG
rnacentral:rRNA from 1 species